GACGAACGCUGGCGGCGUGCUUAACACAUGCAAGUCGAACGGAAAGGCCCUUCGGGGUACUCGAGUGGCGAACGGGUGAGUAACACGUGGGUGAUCUGCCCUGCACUUUGGGAUAAGCCUGGGAAACUGGGUCUAAUACCGAAUAGGACCACGCGCUUCAUGGUGUGUGGUGGAAAGCUUUCGCGGUGUGGGAUGGGCCCGCGGCCUAUCAGCUUGUUGGUGGGGUAAUGGCCUACCAAGGCGACGACGGGUAGCCGGCCUGAGAGGGUGACCGGCCACACUGGGAAUGAGAUACGGCCCAGACUCCUACGGGAGGCAGCAGUGGGGAAUAUUGCACAAUGGGCGCAAGCCUGAUGCAGCGACGCCGCGUGAGGGAUGACGGCCUUCGGGUUGUAAACCUCUUUCAAUAGGGACGAAGCGCAAGUGACGAUACCUAUAGAAGAAGCACCGGCCAACUACGUG
rnacentral:rRNA from 1 species